rnacentral:rRNA from 1 species
GAUGAACGCUGGCGGCGUGCCUAAUACAUGCAAGUCGAGCGAACGGACGAGAAGCUUGCUUUUCUGAUGUUAGCGGCGGACGGGUGAGUAACACGUGGAUAACCUACCUAUAAGACUGGGAUAACUUCGGGAAACCGGAGCUAAUACCGGAUAAUAUUUUGAACCGCAUGGUUCAAAAGUGAAAGACGGUCUUGCUGUCACUUAUAGAUGGAUCCGCGCUGCAUUAGCUAGUUGGUAAGGUAACGGCUUACCAAGGCAACGAUGCAUAGCCGACCUGAGAGGGUGAUCGGCCACACUGGAACUGAGACACGGUCCAGACUCCUGCGGGAGGCAGCAGUAGGGAAUCUUGCGCAAUGGGCGAAAGCCUGACGGAGCAACGCCGCGUGAGUGAUGAAGGUCUUCUGAUCGUAAAACUCUGUUAUUAGGGAAGAACAUAUGUGUAAGUAACUGUGCACAUCUUGACGGUACCUAAUCAGAAAGCCACGGCUAACUACGUG